rnacentral:lncRNA from 1 species
AAAAAGCUUGAAUCAUGGACACUGGGGAAAAAAAGGGGGGGGGGUGCUCAGAAUGGAGUCUGUACAAAAGAGAGAAAAAGAGAGAAAAGAGAGAGAUUGACGUAAAUGGACUUGAGAGAUAGGGCACAGAAUCAUGAAGGGAAAGAAACAAAGUCAGAAUGCUGCUGCUCUCCACGCACACACUCUCUCUCUCUCUGUUGGAUGUUGUUGGUGUGGCUGUUAUUACAACUGUGGUCUGCCUAGUCAGAGUACUCUUAUGCCAUUCCUGCCCAGCAGCCAACAAGGACCACCACCACCACUGCCACAGACCAUUCUAGUAGUCUGUAUUCACUCAACAUCCACCACUCCUUUGUACUUUGUUGCCCAAUUUCUUCUUCUUUU